UACGUAGGUGGCAAGCGUUGUCCGGAUUUACUGGGCGUAAAGGGAGCGUAGGUGGAUAUUUAAGUGGGAUGUGAAAUACUCGGGCUUAACCUGGGUGCUGCAUUCCAAACUGGAUAUCUAGAGUGCAGGAGGGGAAAGUAGAAUUCCUAGUGUAGCGGUGAAAUGCGUAGAGAUUAGGAAGAAUACCAGUGGCGAAGGCGACUUUCUGGACUGUAACUGACACUGAGGCUCGAAAGCGUGGGGAGCAAACAGG
rnacentral:rRNA from 1 species